rnacentral:tmRNA from 1 species
GGGGGCGUACUGGUUUCGACUGGGUAGAUAUGUCUGAGGUAGCAUGCCGAGGAUGGUUCGUUGGCCUCGUAAAAAAUCGGACCAAUAGCAAUAACUGCUAAUAAUGAUCUAGCUCUCGCAGCAUAAAGUUCUGCGACGUUUCUCUGCUGACACCUGCUGGGUGGAAGAAACGCGAUAGCAGGUUAGGUUCUGAGGGGAGACCGCGCGUGAAGAACCGAAACUUAUUUCAUGCGGACUACGAUGAGUGACUCGUGCCGGAUCGUCAUCACACAUCGGAAAUUUACUAUCCGGACAAGCAUGUAGAAGCUUCACGAUAAGUUUGCUUAGGACGCGGGUUCAAUUCCCGCCGCUUCCACCA